rnacentral:rRNA from 1 species
UACGUAGGGGGCAAGCGUUGUCCGGAAUCAUUGGGCGUAAAGCGCGUGUAGGCGCCAGGUAGGUCCGCUGUGAAAACCCGAGGCUCAACCUCGGGACGUCGGCGGAAACCAUCUGGCUAGAGUCCGGAAGAGGAGAGUGGAAUUCCCGGUGUAGCGGUGAAAUGCGCAGAUAUCGGGAAGAACACCCGUGGCGAAGGCGGCUCUCUGGGACGGUACUGACGCUGAGACGCGAAAGCGUGGGGAGCGAACAGG